ACGGUCCUAAGGUAGCGAAAUUCCUUGUCGGGUAAGUUCCGACCCGCACGAAAGGCGUAAUGAUUUGGGCACUGUCUCAACAAUGCACCCGGUGAAAUUGAAAUACCAGUGAAGAUGCUGGUUACCUGCGCCAGGACGGAAAGACCCCAUGGAGCUUUACUCCAGCUUGAUACUGGGAUUCGAUAUUGCAUGUACAGGAUAGGUGGGAGACUGAGAACUGAUGACGCCAGUUGUCAGGGAGUCACUGUUGGGAUACCACCCUUGUAGUAUUGGAUUUCUAACCAGCAGCCGUGAACCGGCUGGGGGACAAUGUCAGGUGGGGAGUUUGACUGGGGCGGUCGCCUCCGAAAGGGUAUCGGAGGCGCUCAAAGGUUCCCUCAGAAUGGUUGGAAACCAUUCGAAGAGUGCAAAGGCAGAAGGGAGCUUGACUGCGACACCGACGGGUGGAGCAGGUACGAAAGUAGGACUUAGUGAUCCGGUGGUAUAAAGUGGGAUUGCCAUCGCUCAACGGAUAAAAGCUACCCUGGGGAUAACAGGCUUAUCACUCCCAAGAGUUCACAUCGACGGAGUGGUUUGGCACCUCGAUGUCGGCUCAUCGCAUCCUGGGGCUGAAGUAGGUCCCAAGGGUUGGGCUGUUCGCCCAUUAAAGCGGUACGCGAGCUGGGUUCAGAACGUCGUGAGACAGUUCGGUCCCUAUCCGGCGUGGGCGUAGGAUAUUUGAGAGGAGCUGCCCUUAGUACGAGAGGACCGGGGUGGACUGGCCGCUGGUGGAUCUGUUGUAUUACCAAAUGCAUAGCAGAGUAGCCAAGCCGGGACGGGAUAAACGCUGAAGGCAUCUAAGCGUGAAGCCCCCCUCAAGAUGAGAUAUCCCAUAACGUCAAGUUAGUAAGACCCCUUGAAGACGACGAGGUAGAUAGGGCAGAGGUGGAAGUGCGGUAACGCAUGGAGCUGACUGUUACUAAUAGGUCGAGGGCAUAACCAA
rnacentral:rRNA from 1 species